UGGCACCCGGCCCAGGGAUUUCUUAAUUCCGGCCGAUUGAAAGGGGAAAAAGCUCAAAAUUUGAAAAUCUGAUUUUUUUAGGGUCCGACUUGGAAAAUUUGUAGAAGGUGUUUGGGGUGUGGGCUCCGGUUUUAAGUUCUUUUGGGAUAUUACAUCAUAGAGGGGAGAAUCCCGUAGGUGACCGGCAGCCUUUCGCCUAUGUGAAAUCUUUUCGACGAGUCGAGUUGUUUGGGGAAUGCAGCUCAAAAUGGGAGGUAUAUUUCUUCUAAAAGCUAAAUAUUGGCCAGAGACCGAUAGCGCACAAGUAGAGUGAUCGAAAGAUGAAAAGCACUUUGGAAAGAGAGUUAAACAGUACGUGAAAUUGUUGAAAGGGAAGCGCUUGCAACCAGACUUGCACGCAGUUGAUCAUCCGGUGUUCUCACCGGGGCACUCUGCUGCGUUCAGGCCAGCAUCGGUUUUGGUGGUUGGAUAAAGGCCUUGGGAAUGUGGCUUCCUUCGGGGAGUGUUAUAGCCCUCGGUGCAAUGCAG
rnacentral:rRNA from 1 species